UACAGAGGUCUCAAGCGUUGUUCGGAUUCAUUGGGCGUAAAGGGUGCGUAGGCGGCGCGGUAAGUCGGGUGUGAAAUCUCGGGGCUUAACUCCGAAACUGCAUUCGAUACUGCCGUGCUUGAGGACUGGAGAGGAGACUGGAAAUUUACGGUGUAGCGGUGAAAUGCGUAGAUAUCGUAAGGAAGACCAGUGGCGAAGGCGGGUCUCUGGACAGUUCCGUGACGCUGAGGCAACGAAGGCCAGGGGAGCAAACGGG
rnacentral:rRNA from 1 species